UAAGAAUACGUGUAACGUUAAUAUUUAACAACCACGGGCCCGUUGCCGUUGGAACCAGGCACAAACUAGACAAAGCUUUGUUUUUUUUAAAGGUCAUACAAUAGUUUACUAUAGUCAUUUUCAAGUUUUGUCAGUUAUAGAAGUAAGCCAACAUGCAAAAAUGAUAGCAACAGCAGCCGAUUUCAAGAAACUUUACUCAAUGGCGUAACAAUCCUCUUGCACCUCAAUUUACUGCCACACCGUAGUCAACCAUGCAUGUAGUCACUCACUAUUCCCCGAUGAGACCAACAUUUUCUCUACUUAGGCAUGAACUUUGCACUAGUCCCUCAGAAGAGAUCAUCCAGCGCACCGAGCCCACCUCUAUCUGCCAUCUUGACAACUCCACUGCCAAAGAGAUCUGCCUGCAUCCCUCCGGAAACACAAACCAGCUAUUAAAGCUCAACAUCUCCAAACAAGACUGGCCAGCCAUCAUAUCACUUCGUCGAGAUCAUUCCAUCCACAUCCUCAAAGCUGACUAUGUGGAUGCCACGGUCGUCGUGGACAAGACUGAGUAUGAUGGCAAGGUGGAGGACAUCCUGGACUCGGGUUCCUAAUGUGUACUUCGCAAGUAGCCUGCACCGUGUCUUGAGAAGAGGCUCAAAAGCAAGCUCCUCUUCCUCCAGCGGUCCGGCAGCAUCUCUCCAGUCCUUGUACCGGCAACUCCAGCAAUCCAGCUCCAAAUGCCCAAGUUCUUUGGACAGCCCAAGAUCCACAAGCAAGGUGUUCCUCUGCGCCCAAUCAUGGUCUCCAGGGGAGGCCCGACUUCCAACACAGCAAGACAUCUCGCUACGAUCCUCCACCCUUUGGUAGGCAACACAGAACACGGCAUCAAGAGCUCCCACCAGUUCGCCACUUUCAUCCAAGAUCUCACCAUUCAGCCAGAUGACAUCAUGGUCACCUUUUAAAUUGUCUCUCUCUCCAUUAAUGUUUCUACCUCUCAUGCCUGCCACAUCGCCACAGACAACUUCAACUAGAUCCCACCCUCAAGGAUGCACACCGACCUCACACCUGAUGACCAGCUUCAUGAUCUUCGCCUCACCUGCGUCAACUCAUCCAGCUUCCAUUGGCGUGGUAAAUUCUUUGAAAGUCUGCUGGAACCUCCAUGGGAUGUACACCUAUUGUUCUGGCCGACAUAUUCAUGGAAGAGUUUAACUUUAAAAGCAGACCGCCAUUGCCACAGCGGACCAUCUGGCUUUCAUCAUCUGGCAGCAAAAUGGCAGGAGAAGCUCCUGCUCCUGAAGCUCCUGCUCCACUGAGAACACUGCAACAGGCUUCACAGAAACAUCCCAUGCACCAAAAGUAGGAUGGCGCUCUCACCUGCAACAUCUAUCAGAAAUCAGUGCCCACUGACAGAAACACUGUACCUCCCCAGCAAUUCCUUUAAUCUUGCCAAGAUCAAGGCUUCUGUUAACUGGGCUUGUCCACAGGGCGUACAUGUACGACAUCUGCGACGAGGAACACCUUCCCUUGGAACUCUGAUCACAUAACCACAGCACUACACACAACGGAUACAAGCCCAGCCAAUUCAGAACUCAAGAUCCCAGAAUUACCCCCGGCCAGAGGAUCUCUUAUAUCCAAGGUCAACAAGUUAGGGCAACUAGUUCCAUUAGCCUCCCCUACUUGGGUAGUUCUCCCCCCCCCCCACAUUCAACCUAUCCCCCACAAGCAUGGCAUCCGAGUUUUCCACACAGCACUCCUGAAGAUCCAGAACCUGCUGCAAUCGCAUAUAAGGACCGGCAAGAUCCCAAGUGCAGACCAUUAAUGAACAGAAUCCCCUGCCAAUGUGGCAAAGUGUACAUCAGUGAGACUGGAAGGGACCUCCCUACCAGUCAAGUCAGAACUCAAGAUCUGACUUGAUUUGACAAGUCCUCCGUAGUCAAGCACUCCCACACCGAAGAUCAUCAGAUCAACUGGCAGCAGGCUGAACUCAUCACCAGCAUUGAGCACUGGUUGCCCUGUCGCAUCAGAGAGGCCAUCGAAAUCUUCAAGCAUGAUACGGUACCCCAAGACAUUGGUUUCUCCAUUAGCGACAACUGGUGCACCAUCCUCACCUCCCAGUCCAAUGGGUCUUCUAUACCCAAGGACAACUUACAUGUAGUUCCCCCACCCUAGUCAGCCUAUGGGUCCCCUAUACCCUUGGCA
rnacentral:lncRNA from 1 species